rnacentral:tRNA from 1 species
GGUUGUGGCUCAGUGGUAGAGCACUUGCCUGGAAUGUGGGAGGCACUGCGUUUGAUCCUCAGGACCA